rnacentral:rRNA from 1 species
AUUGAACGCUGGCGGCAGGCCUAACACAUGCAAGUCGAACGAGUGGCGGACGGGUGAGUAAUGUCUGGGAAACUGCCUGAUGGAGGGGGCUAACUACUGGAAACGGUAGCUAAUACCGCAUACCAUCGGAUGUGCCCAGAUGGGAUUAGCUAGUAGGUGGUGUAACGGCUCACCUAGGCGACGAUCCCUAGCUGGUCUGAGAGGAUGACCAGCAACACUGGAACGGAGCCACGGUCCAGACUCCUACGGUAGGCAGCAGGGGGGAAUAUUGCACAAUGGGCGCAAGCCUGAUGCAGCCAUGCCGCGUGGGUGAAGAAGGCUUUCGGGUUGUAAAGCACUUUCAGCGGGGAGGCGUUACCCGCAGAAGAAGCACCGGCUAACUCCGUGCCAGCAGCCGCGGUAAUAC